AAUGAACGCUGGCGGCGCGCCUAAUACAUGCAAGUCGAGCGAGAAGACGUAGCAAUACGUUUGUAAAGCGGCGAACGGGUGAGGAAUACAUGGGUAACCUACCCUCGAGUGGGGAAUAACUAGCCGAAAGGUUAGCUAAUACCGCGUACGCUUCUUGGACUUCGGUUCAGGGAGGAAAGCGAUGCCGAGGGUAUCGCGCUCUUGGAUGGGCUCAUGUCCUAUCAGCUUGNGGUGAGGUAACGGCUCACCAAGGCUUCGACGGGUAGCUGGUCUGAGAGGACGAUCAGCCACACUGGCACUGCGACACGGGCCAGACUCCUACGGGAGGCAGCAGUAAGGAAUAUUGCGCAAUGGGCGAAAGCCUGACGCAGCGACGCCGCGUGGGGGGA
rnacentral:rRNA from 1 species